AGAGCACACACCUGUGAUCAAAGGAGGGCGGCUGUGCACAGCCAGUGCCGUGGUGUGUGGGGGCUCCGUCUCUGUCUCAGCCUGGGCCCUCGGUGAUGUGGGGCCCUUUGCAACCCCUAAGGCUCCUUGCAGAACAAAGGAGCUACUGAGGCAGCUGGCUGUGCCUGGCACCUCCCUGCCCCCACCCUACCUCCCAUGUGUUUUUUUUUUUUUUAAUUUAAGCAGCUUCAGACUGUCAUUCCAUGUCUGUUGGGUUGAGGAAGGAAAAUUGAAAAUCUCUUUCAAGGAUCUUUAAGAUUAAAAGUCAAAGAUGUUCUUGAUGGAGUCCCUGUCAGCCUGGAUCCCAGAGUGCUGAUGUGGAGCAGAAAACUCCUUGCCCCAAGUUGGACAUGUAGCAUGGUGGAUAAUGUGAGAGUGGAGAAUGGAACAGAAGCUUGGAGAGGUGACGGCAGCGACUGAGCAAUGUGUGUUUGUUGUACCUACCCUCUGUCAGGGCUGUCUGGGGAGAGCCGUGAUGGGGUGCAGGGCGAGGCGUCUUAUACCAUGCUCGUCACUCUGGAGGAAACACAACUCCAAUCACAAGAACUGAGCUGAAGUCUCUGGUUCGUUAUUUUUUGUUUUGUAGCUGAGAAUGUUAGUAAGCUCUGCUGCUGUUCCACACACAAUAAUGCCAACUUCCUUGUGAGUCACUGAAGAACAUGGAAUGUGGUGUGUGAAUUGCUUCGAAGACCCUGACUGGCCACCCGAACAACAGGUGUCAGUUCUGAAUUUAGGAGGUGCUUAGUAAAUGUUUACUUCGGGAUUUUAAUUAUAAAUAAUUGUCUUAAUCCUAAAUUAUUGAAUUUGACCACACUUGGAGGAGGCAGAUCUUGAGUUCACUGGGUUCAUUACCUGUAGCAUUAUACACCCACCUGGAUCAGUUAAUAAAAAUGGAUAAGCAAGA
ensembl:lncRNA novel transcript